GCUUUCCUGGUGAAAUUGGUAGACACGCUGGUUUUAGGAACCAGUGCUUUCAGCAUGAGGGUUCGAGUCCCUCGGAAAGCA
rnacentral:tRNA from 1 species